rnacentral:rRNA from 1 species
GACGAACCGUGCGAACGUUGUUCGGAAUCACUGGGCUUAAAGGGCGCGUAGGCGGCUUGCCAAGUCCGGGGUGAAAGCCUCCAGCUCAACUGGAGAAGUGCCUUGGAUACUGGCGAGCUCGAGUGAGGUAGGGGCGGGUGGAACUUCCGGUGGAGCGGUGAAAUGCGUUGAUAUCGGAAGGAACGCCGGUGGCGAAAGCGACCCGCUGGACCUCUUCUGACGCUGAGGCGCGAAAGCUAGGGGAGCGAACGGG